rnacentral:tRNA from 1 species
CCGGGGCUGGAGGAGUCGCUGAUUCCGUCGUUCUCUCGGAGCGACAAGGGGCUGCCGCCGUCGGUUCCGCCGAAGCUCCAGC